ACACCUCAACUCUCAUGGUUUUACCGUGAUGAGCUUGGACUUUGGGGGUCUUGCUGGCCAGCGGUCGGCUCCUCUCAAAUGAAUCAGCUUACCAGUGUUUGGUGGCAUCACAGGUGUGAUAACUAUCUACGCUUGUGGUUUCCUGCCAGGUAUCCUUCAGUGAUGAAGGGUCGCUGGAGCUCACAAAUGUCUUUCCUCAGCGAAGACAGCUCUUGAUU
rnacentral:misc_RNA from 1 species